rnacentral:rRNA from 1 species
UUCCGGUUGAUCCUGCCAGAGGUUACUGCUAUCGGUGUUCGCCUAAGCCAUGCGAGUCAUAUGUAGCAAUACAUGGCGUACUGCUCAGUAACACGUGGAUAACCUGCCCUUGGGUCCGGCAUAACCCCGGGAAACUGGGGAUAAUUCCGGAUAACGCACAAGUGCUGGAAUGCUUUAUGCGUAAAAUGGAUUCGUCUGCCCAAGGAUGGGUCUGCGGCCUAUCAGGUAGUAGUGGGUGUAAUGUACCUACUA